CAGUAGCCACGGUAAAACGUAGGUGGCAAGCGUUGUCCGGAAUUAUUGGGCGUAAAGGGCUCGCAGGCGGUCUCUUAAGUCUGAUGUGAAAGCCCCCGGCUCAACCGGGGAGAGUCAUUGGAAACUGGGAAACUUGAGUGCAGAAGAGGAGAGUGGAAUUCCACGUGUAGCGGUGAAAUGCGUAGAGAUGUGGAGGAACACCCGUGGCGAAGGCGACUCUCUGGUCUGUAACUGACGCUGAGGAGCGAAAGCGUGGGGAGCGAACAGGAUUAGAUACCCGCGUAGUCCCUGUCUCUUAUAC
rnacentral:rRNA from 1 species